UAGGGAAUCUUCCACAAUGGACGCAAGUCUGAUGGAGCAACGCCGCGUGAGUGAAGAAGGUUUUCGGAUCGUAAAGCUCUGUUGUUGGUGAAGAAGGAUAGAGGUAGUAACUGGCCUUUAUUUGACGGUAAUCAACCAGAAAGUCACGGUUAACUACGUGCCAGCAGCCGCGGUAAUACGUAGGUGGCAAGCGUUGUCCGGAUUUAUUGGGCGUAAAGCGAGCGCAGGCGGAAGAAUAAGUCUGAUGAGAAAGCCCUCGGCUUAACCGAGGAACUGCAUCGGAAACUGUUUUUCUUGAGUGCAGAAGAGGAGAGUGGAAUUCCAUGUGUAGCGGUGGAAUGCGUAGAUAUAUGGAAGAACACCAGUGGCGAAGGCGACUCUCUGGUCUGCAACUGACGCUGAGGCUCGAAAGCAUGGGUAGCGAACAGG
rnacentral:rRNA from 1 species